GACGAACGCUGGCGGCGUGCUUAACACAUGCAAGUCGAACGGUAAGGCCCUUCGGGGUACACGAGUGGCGAACGGGUGAGUAACACGUGGGUGAUCUGCCCUGCACUUCGGGAUAAGCCUGGGAAACUGGGUCUAAUACCGGAUAGGACCACUGCCCGCAUGGGUGGUGGUGGAAAGCUUUUGCGGUAUGGGAUGGGCCCGCGGCCUAUCAGCUUGUUGGUGGGGUGAUGGCCUACCAAGGCGACGACGGGUAGCCGGCCUGAGAGGGUGACCGGCCACACUGGGACUGGGAUACGGCCCAGACUCCUACGGGAGGCAGCAGUGGGGAAUAUUGCACAAUGGGCGCAAGCCUGAUGCAGCGACGCCGCGUGAGGGAUGACGGCCUUCGGGUUGUAAACCUCUUUCAGCACCGACGAAGCGCAAGUGACGGUAGGUGCAGAAGAAGGACCGGCCAACUACGUGCCAGCAGCCGCGGUAA
rnacentral:rRNA from 1 species